UCUAUUCAGUCAACAGAAGAUCUUUGUCAAGCAAGUGUUUGAGUUGCAUAGACUGAUAAAGGUGCAAAGAUUAAUAGCAGGCUCACCCCAUGUAUUGCUUGAAGAUAACCUUUUACUUAACAAGCCACCACC